UACAGAGGUCUCAAGCGUUGUUCGGAUUCAUUGGGCGUAAAGGGUGUGUAGGUGGCGCCGUUAGUCGGGUGUGAAAUUUCGGAGCUUAACUCCGAAACUGCAUUCGAUACUGCGGUGCUUGAGGACUGGAGAGGAGACUGGAAUUCAUGGUGUAGCAGUGAAAUGCGCAGAUAUCAGGAGGAACACCGAUGGCGAAGGCAGGUCUCUGGGCAGUAACUGACGCUGAGGAGCGAAAGCGUGGGGAGCGAACAGG
rnacentral:rRNA from 1 species